rnacentral:rRNA from 1 species
UACAGAGGUCUCAAGCGUUGUUCGGAUUCAUUGGGCGUAAAGGGUGCGUAGGCGGCGCGGUAAGUCGGAUGUGAAAUCCCCAAGCUUAACUUGGGAACUGCAUCCGAUACUGGAUGGCUUGAAUCCGGGAGAGGGAUGCAGAAUUCCAGGUGUAGCGGUGAAAUGCGUAGAUAUCUGGAGGAACACCGGUGGCGAAGGCGGCAUCCUGGACCAACACUGACACUGAGGAGCGAAAGCCAGGGGAGCAAACGGG